GAGUUUGAUCGUGGCUCAGGAUGAACGCUAGCGGCAGGCUUAAUACAUGCAAGUCGUGGGGCAGCAUGACUGUAGCAAUACAGUUGAUGGCGACCGGCAAACGGGUGCGGAACACGUACACAACCUUCCUUUAAGUGGGGGAUAGCCCAGGGGAAACUUGGAUUAAUACCCCCGUAAUAUAUAGAAGCGGCAUCGCUUUUAUAUUAUAGCAGCAAUGCGCUUGAAGAUGGGUGUGCGGCUGAUUAGAUAGUUGGCGGGGUAACGGCCCACCAAGUCGACGAUCAGUAACUGGUGUGAGAGCACGACCCAGUCACACGGGGCACUGAGACACGGGGCCCGACUCCUACGGGAGGCAGCAGUAAGGAUAUUGGUCAAUGGACGCAAGUCUGACCAGCCAUGCCGCGU
rnacentral:rRNA from 1 species